rnacentral:lncRNA from 1 species
UGGGCUAAGACUAAAACUUAUCCCUACAAGUCUAAAACUCUGCCCGUCAGUCUCAGAACACAUCCCUCAAGCUUCUCAAGUCAUACGGACUGAGCUGUGAGCAUCUGAAAAAUAAUAGAGAUAUGAGGGAUCAAAGUCUGGUUUGAGUCAUCCUGAGAUGUCAAUCUCUCAGCAAAGACUGCGGUGACAAACUGCUGAGAUAAAAUGGAGACAACAC